GAUGGAACACCGAACUACAGGCGAAGGAGGACCGUGGAGGAUUUCAACAAGUUCUGUACGUUUGUGCUGGCGUAUGCGGGAUACAUACCGUACCCUGAAGAGGAGACCCCUCUUAGAUCCAGCUCCAGUCCACCAAACAGCACAGGAAGCACCGUAGACAGCGAUAGUUGGGAUUCCAGAUUCCAGGACGUCUCCUCUACCGAGGCUUUGACGAUCAAAAAGCGGAAAAGCUUUGAGCUGAAACACGAGCGCUCCUACCCCUCCAUGCUGAAGCGCUCUAAGCUCAGCAGCUUCCUCCUGGACUGCAAGAAACUGGACAAAAUAAAGAAAAAGAAGAAGUUUAAGAAAAAGGAGCAGCAGGCUGUGAAGGAGGAAGAGUACUUGAAAACCAUAAUAAAAAUAGAGCCGGAGGACUCGUCACCUGAGGAGAACGUGCCCAUGCCUAUGCCCGCCCCCAUCCUGGACCACCCGCUGGAUCUCAAAAUGUCUCCAAAGCACGAGACCCCAGACCCCAUAUUCGAGAGCUGUAACAACAGUAUGGACAGCAGCUCCGUCACCAUGAACUACGACGACAUGGAGGAAAUGAAGAUCGAGUACUCAGAGGUGAACCUGGGGAAGCGGACGGUCAUACGGCAGGGAAAGCAGGUGGUCUUCCGGGAUGAAGACAGCACAGGGAACGACGAGGACAUCAUGGUGGACUCAGAUGAUGAAUCCUGGCAUCUCGUCACCUGCUUCUGCAUGAAACCGUUCGCUGGCCGGCCGAUGAUCGAGUGCAACGAAUGCAACACCUGGAUCCACCUGUCCUGUGCCAAAAUCCGAAAGUCCAACGUUCCGGAAAUCUACGUUUGCCAAAAGUGCCGAGACACCAAAUUCGAUAUCCGACGAUCAAACCGCUCACGAAUGGGCUGUAGGAAGCUGUUUUUGGACUGAAAUAACAAAAAAAAAACGGGGACACUGAGCAGCCGCACGCAGGACUACACCACUGUGCACAGACAACCAAUAGCGUUAAAACAAAUGUUUGUUUUUCUGUGGACGCGCACAUUUACAGACUUUACAACUUACAAAUUUCAAUCUUGGUCGCCCAGUCAGGGUCUGUUUCACGUCGGCCAUGUUUAUCCGCAUGAAACCGCACUGACCGGAGUUCAGUUCCCAUGAAAACAUGGCAGCACUGGGGUUAAAUGUAGCAAUGUUAGGGGAGGUCUUCCCCUCAAGACCAAAAUGAGGAAAAAAAAAAAAAAAAACUGGUAAAUUAAAAUUUAUUUUCUAAAUGCUGCAGUUUGACAGUAUAUAUUUUUUUCGCAGUUAUGAAAAAUUCAAUUUUUUUGGUUCUAAUUUAAUUUUUUUGUCUCCUACGUACACAAGAGAUUGUUGUAAAAGAAGUCCAAAAAUCUUUUUCAAUAAAUGUUUUUUUUUCAAUACGACCUGUAGAUUAGAAAAUGUAUUUUUAUUUUUUUUUUACGAUCAAUAUACAGUAGUUUUUUUUUUUAGAUUGUUUAUUUUUUCAUCAAAGCUGUUUUUUUUUUUUACCUGCGUGUGCGUUAAAUGUUUUUAAAAAAUAAAAGUAUAUAAAUAAUGGUUCUGACAAAAUCAAAAAAAAUCUAAAAUAAAAAUAGUAGCGGUAAUAAGAAUAAUGCACACGCACGUGAAAAAUGUUUUCAGAAUGGAAGUUUUGCGUUGCUUUAUCUACCUCUGUCCAUUAUAUUUCAGUCAUAGAAUGAGGAAAAGGUUGGACGAAAGCAGGAAAAAAUUGAAUAAACCUUUUGAUUUUGUGGCGCCAUGUUAGGAUAUCGCUUGCCGUCCACCAUUUUAUCCCCCCCCCCCCUCAAUUUGGCGCAUAGGAAAUGCUCCUAUCCUGUCAUACUGCCUUGAUUGUAUUAUCCACAUCUUGGGGAACACUGAUCUAAAUAGGCCUCCAGUCCUGUGGAAAGCCUAGACUCUUACCUAUAAAGAUGGCUGGUUGACGACUGGUGUUGCCCAUAGCAACCACUUGCAUUACAGGUUGUGACUGGAAAUCGGUUGCUAUGGGAAACUUCGGCUGUCAGGGCAUGAUGGGAGUUAUAGUUUUGCUACAGAGCCACAUGUUGGGGAACGCUGAUCUAAAUGGCUCCCUGGAAAACCAAACACUGCUAACUAGAGAUGGCUGGACUAUGAAUGGCGUUGCCCAUAGCAACUACUCACAUUAGAUUGUGACAGGAAAUUUGUUGCUAUGGGAACCUCUUCUUGUUGACAAUGUUGAAUCUGUCAAAAAAAGAAUGGAUGGUCCAAAGAUACCAUCGUAAACUAUGAUUUUAGUACACGGCGGCCAUUUUGUUUUGUGUGUGAUUUUAUAUGACGUGUUCAUAUUUGAGAUAUGGCCACAAAAUGGCUGCCGCCUAAUGCAAUGGAGAACCUAUUGUGGUAGUUUUAUGAAUCCAAGGAGCCAUGUUUGGUUACAAGUGACAUAUAUAGGCACCAUACCUGCUCUGAUGUUGUGGCACUACAAGUCCCAGCUUAAUGAAUGGAUAUACUAUGUUAUUUAGUGUAAAACAUAUGGGCCUCCUCCAGUCAUUACUAGGAUGUGGAACUGACAUAAUUUUUGCACAGUUUAUAUUUAGACUUUUACGAUUUUAUAUUUGGCGCGACCAAUUCGUUUCAAGGUAGUGGCGCAAUGUGGAAGGGAAGUUUUGGAAUGGUUUUUUUUUUUUUCUAAAUUGUAUUAAGUUCACUUUUUUCCCCUCCCCUUAAUAUUGUAUAGUGAAUACAUAAGGCAAUAAGCAGAACUGAUGCCAUUUGUGUUUUAAUUUUUUAAUUUGUGUCCCAUUACAUAAACGACUUGUGUACGGUUCGCAUUGAGGCCACAUUUGCAUUAUGUUUUGUGUAUCCGUUGCGGCAUACAUUAGCAAACCUUUUGUUAUUGUGAUUGCGCAGAAAAUGUCAUGUGAAUGGGGUCAAAGGAAGAAAAAUAAUAAUAAAAAAAGGAAAUAAAAUUGUUCCAGGCUGCUGCAGAACAUCUUGGGAACUCAAUUCCCUCUUUUUUUCUUUUUCUUUUCUUUUUUUUUUCUUUCUUUUUUUCACUGAACCAUUUAAACCCUUUGCUGCCAUGGUACGGGCCACCAUUUUUUUUUUCUUUACGCCAUUUCUUUCUCACUAUUAUUGAACGUGUUUCUUGAAGACUUAAUGCUCUAUAGGAAGUACAUUAUUCUAUGUGAAGAAAUUUUUUAUUUUAGUUUUGAAAAAUUUCUCCCUCACCAGAGACCAAACAGGCGGGAACUUUCCGAUUCUUCUACGCACAUCUCUGUGUAUGUUGUGUCUGCCUAAUGUGUGGAGACGGUAACGUCUCGUUUUAAUGUUUUUUUUUUUUCUUUUGUACGGAUACGGAGAGGGCUUUAUCAUCACACGUGUCUCUAAAAUUAGUCAUUAAAAAAUGUUUGCUUUUUUUUUUUUUUUUGUUAAAUUCACAAACUCAAUAACCUGUUCUAAAAAAAAAAUGGUACUAAGCCGCCAUACUUUAUCCUACCUUCGUUUGUACAAUGGCACUAUCUGAAGUUGGCGUCUUUGGCACAGUUUUUAUGGAGUUUUAUUUUUCAAUAGUGCACUUUUUAAAAUAAAUUCCUUUCAUGUUCACAAUGGAGAUUUUUUUUCGAGUCAGAAAAAAAAUUUUUUUUUUCUUAAUCAUUUUAUUUUCUACCACGAAAUUCCUUUUUUUUUUUUUUUUUUUUUUUUUAGGGGAAAAAGGGUUUAAAAAAAUACUGAUUUAAAAAGAAAAAAUGUUUUUUUCAUUUUCAAAGUGUUUUUUAAUGUUUUUUAUGUUUUUUUAUUUUAAUCCUUCCCCUCAGAGUGCACUAGUCAUGACUUGCUCUUUCGUAAUGUCUUUUUAGGGUGUUUUGGUCUUUGCAUUGUUUAAAGUUUACUCUCAGUAAUCCCGAUAUCUACAUUGGAAGUAUUUGUAUAGAUAAAUAUAUAUAUAUAUAUAGAUAUAUAUCUCAUUUUUGUAGGUGUUUAUUUUAUUUUUUCUGCCAGACUGAGAGAAACAUUGAACAAGCUUUAUAGAGCACAGACCGGGAAACAUGAUGUGAUGUACGGGACUUGUGUAUUUGCAAGGACGAUGUUUCUGUGAAACUUUGUACAUUUGUAAAUAAAGAUAUCAAUAUUUUA